rnacentral:tRNA from 1 species
GCAUCGGUAGCUCAAUUGGAUAGAGCACCCGGCUUCGAACCGGGCGGUUAGGGGUUCGAGUCCCUUCCGGUGCG